UUUCCGUAGGUGAACCUGCGGAAGGAUCAUUAAAGAGAAUAUGCCCUUCGGGGUAGAUCUCCCACCCUUUGUUUAUAUUACCUUUGUUGCUUUGGCAGGCCCGCCUUCGGACCACCGGCUUCGGCUGGUCAGUGCUUGCCAGAGGACCCAAAACUCUUAUUAUUAAUGUCGUCUGAGUACUAUAUAAUAGUUAAAACUUUCAACAACGGAUCUCUUGGUUCUG
rnacentral:misc_RNA from 1 species